ensembl:lncRNA
AUGCAGGCCCAGACUGAGACCUCUCACUCAGCUCCCCGGAGGUCGAGGGGUCGGCCCAACGCAGACAGACGCGCAACAAACUGUCCCCAGAGCGGCCGGCCAGGUGACGGAGGGAUGACGGCAGAUGAGAAGAUGGACGCGGACAAUCAGUCAGACGGAGGCAGAGUUACAGAGAGGACAGGUCACAAGGUCGGAGAGGUGAUCGUGAUUGAUUGGAUACAUCACCAGCUCCACUGCGUCCACCGGUGUCUUGAAGACGGAGGAGAGGACUACGCUUGGUGCGCUGCCAACUCGCUGGUUUAUGGAACAAUCGAGCGUGAUUUGCUCUGUACAUUCAUCUCUCCCGCUUCUUUACAACGGAUCUUUGUAGUCAAUGCACAUAGAAGAUCCCCCAAAAAACCAGCACAAAUAACACGCUAGAUAUUAACGCUAUGGCGACAGUCCAUUACCUACAAGCAGUCUUUGCUAAACAUGGAGGACAAGCCAUACAGCGAAUGCAUGUAACGGGCAGAAGCUCUGCUCAAAGCCCACGGCAAACAUUUUCAGCUCAACGAAACACAACACCACCAACCGACAGCCCAACGGACACGUCGCAAAAACACACGCAAACUGAACGAGGACAAAAAAAAAAGGCCCGGGCGAUGACGACCACCGUCACAGAUUCCAAACCAACUUUCUACGACCAAACGUCACCGAACAAGCAGCCGAAGAAGAGCAAAGUUCACAUCACACAGCGACACGGAUGAAUCAUGUCUUACCUUUGCUGCUUCUGUCACGUCGAAAUUGUGUUUUAGUCCAUAACUCCACCACAGACAGCUGAUCAAAUGUCCCUGUGUCACUUCCUGACAAUUUUCCCUCCAUCUAUCUUCUUCUUCUUCCUCCUCUUCUUCUGCCACUUGUGUCACUGGAGGGUCGCAACCAUUAUCGCCCCCAACUGACUCAAGUAGGUAUUACACAUGUCCCUGCGAACAGGCCUGUAUUUUGUAAAUAGAUGAAUAUAGUGAGUUCAUACUACACGACCGACUGGCGAAGUUGUGAACUAGGCAUUAUUGUUAUCAUUGUUAUAUUUAUUAUGAAUAAGGAAAAAUACAUCUGAUAACCCUAAAAAGAACCGUGACUUUCCAAACCGCCAUCCUUUCUGCAGUGCUUCACAUGAGCUACCCUGAAGCUACAAGAGGGAGACAAAAAAAAAAAAGCACAGUGAGACUCAAGAGGUCCUCGUGUUGGCCUCCAGUCAAACGAGUUCCUGCUGCACUGACGGGGGUCAACUGUCCCGUUUGAUCUAUUUAAUUUCAGUUUUAAAAGCUCCGACUGUCAUCCAAUUAAGUUCCAGAUAAUGUGUGUGCUUUAUGGUUAUGAGAUGUAAAUAUAAUCAGGAGCAUAUGUGUUGUUUAUAAAUCAAUGCAGUACCGAAAGCAGGCUUUUGUUGUAGCUCACACGAGCGCGAGCGCGUGCGCGCACACACACACACACACACACACACACACACACACACACACACACACACACACACACACACACUCACACGACGCUUCACCCAGUAUUGCCUUGCUUCCGGAGGCAGGUUGGACACAUCUUACUGUGCAUCUUUAUCAAAACUGAGCCGUAUUAACAUAAUUGUCAGCUUUUCUGCUGUAUCUUGUCUCUUUAACAUCAUUUUUGGUUGUAUUUUUAGAUCUGCAGCCUGCUUGAGAUUCAACGGCGCUAAUUAAAUAGACGGAGGCUUCUCACCACGCCAAAUAAACUGAUGUCUUUUCCCAGGAACUCUCGGAAGACUGUCAGAUGGACCUGAACACACACUCGCACGUGCGUGGACACACACACCAACACAAACGAUCCUGCCAGGAAGCGAUGCAGAAUCCAGCCUGAUUACUGCAUUUGUCACGAGCUGACCACCGACGAAGUUGUGAGGAAGCUCAAAAGGGAUGACUACUGAAACGACAAAACAUGUACCUGUCGGAUAAAUAAAGACAGGAUGAGGCAGUGAGAGGAAUGUAAAGUGUUUGUAAUUGAGUGUGUUUCUUUGUGUGCGUAUGUAUAUAUGUGUGUGUGUGUGAGGGAGCGAGAGAGAGCGAGUCGGCGAGAUAAUGACCUACAUGAUUGAUAAUCAAUGGCCUCCCUCUCCCCUUGUCUCGUGUUUCUGUUCCAGGGUUGUGUUUUAAUGUCGCUCUGCCGCUCGCUGACCUCAUUAAAGGAUCUGGUUACCCUCAAACAGCUUUUUAAUUUAGCCUAAUGAUUUUUUGCAUAAUAGAUCAGAUACUUGGUAAGCCCCAGGGAGCGGCCCUCCUCUUCAAGGUGCCUUUAUAGUGAGACGAGCCGAGGUUCGGGAGGCUCUUAUUGUGCUAUACGUGUUUUUUGUUGAAUUCUGGGAAUUUUUUCUUCUUCUCUUUAUCUUCAUAUUAUAUCUGUCUUUGUUGUUGACUGGUUGCAAAAAGACAAAGAACAAGACAAUAUUGCAGUGGCAGAAGCUGAGAGGAAAAAAAGGUAGGAUGUCUAGUGAUAUCCUUACCUUAUAGACUGCGAACCAAUUCAAUGAGGAAAAAAAAAUCACCAAUGAAAUCAUCCAACUUGCAACUGUUGCCUGUGAAUCCAAAGCUGGAAGGGCUCAUUCCUUCGCGCCAUAGAGCUCAGCUGUUGUCCAAAACUAC